AUUGAACGCUGGCGGCAUGCCUAACACAUGCAAGUCGAGCGGAUGAAGGGAGCUUGCUCCUGGAUUCAGCGGCGGACGGGUGAGUAAUGCCUAGGAAUCUGCCUGGUAGUGGGGGAUAACGUCCGUAAACGGGCGCUAAUACCGCAUACGUCCUGAUGUAGAAAGUGGGGGAUCUUCGGACCUCACGCUAUCUGAUGAGCCUAGGUCGGAUUAGCUAGUUGGUGGGGUAAAGGCCUACCAAGGCGACGAUCCGUAACUGGUCUGAGAGGAUGAUCAGUCACACUGGAACUGAGACACGGUCCAGACUCCUACGGGAGGCAGCAGUGGGGAAUCUUGGACAAUGGGCGAAAGCCUGAUGCAGCAAUGCCGCGUGUGUGAAGAAGGUCUUCGGAUUGUAAAGCACUUUAAGUUGGGAGGAAGGGCAGUAAGUUAAUCCAUUGCUGUUUUGACGUUACCAACAGAAUAAGCACCGGCUAACUUCGUG
rnacentral:rRNA from 1 species